UACGUAGGGUGCGAGCGUUAAUCGGAAUUACUGGGCGUAAAGCGUGCGCAGGCGGUUCGUUGUGUCGGCGGUGAAAGCCCCGGGCUCAACCUGGGAAUGGCCGUUGAAACUGGCGAACUGGAGUGUGGCAGAGGGGGGUGGAAUUCCGCGUGUAGCAGUGAAAUGCGUAGAGAUGCGGAGGAACACCAAUGGCGAAGGCAGCCUUCUGGGCCAACACUGACGCUCAUGCACGAAAGCGUGGGGAGCAAACAGG
rnacentral:rRNA from 1 species